rnacentral:rRNA from 1 species
GACGAGCCGUGCGAACGUUAUUCGGAAUCAUUGGGCUUAAAGGGCGCGUAGGCGGCGGUGUAAGUUGGAAGUGAAAUCCCAUCGGCUCAACCGUGGAAUUGCUCCCAGUACUGCAUCGCUCGAGGGGGAUAGGGGUUUGCGGAACUACCGGUGGAGCGGUGAAAUGUGUUGAUAUCGGUGGGAACGCCAGUGGCGAAAGCGGCAAACUUGACCCUUCCUGACGCUGAGGCGCGAAAGCUAGGGGAGCAAACGGG